GGACCCGCACAAGCGGUGGAGCAUGUGGUUUAAUUCGAUGCAACGCGAAAAACCUUACCUACUCUUGACAUACUUGGGAGCUCUUGUAAUGAGAGUGUGCCUUUUGGAACCAAGAUACAGGUGCUGCAUGGCUGUCGUCAGCUCGUGUCGUGAGAUGUUCCGUUAAGUCGGAUAACGAGCGCAACCCUUACCCUUAUUUGCCAGCGAUUCGGUCGGGAACUAUAAGGGGACUGAAACCGGUGAUAAACCGGAGGAAGGUGAGGACGACGUCAAGUCAUCAUGGCCCUUACGAGUAGGGCUACACACGUGCUACAAUGGGGAAUACAGACGGACGCUAAGCCGCGAGGUGGUGCUAAUCCCAAAAAGUGCGUCGUAGUCCGGAUCGGAGUCUGCAACUCGACUCCGUGAAGUCGGAAUCGCUAGUAAUCG
rnacentral:rRNA from 1 species